GGUAGCGGUGUAGCUGCGCAGCGUCGCGCGCGCUACCGCACCCAGGUUCGGCCCGUAGGCGUCUGGCAGCCCGGCGCCAUCUUCAUCGAGCGCCAUGGCCGCAGCCUGCGGGCCGGGAGCGGCCGGGUACUGCUUGCUCCUCGGCUUGCAUUUGUUUCUGCUGACCGCGGGCCCUGCCCUGGGCUGGAACGACCCUGAAGCCCUUGUUGGAUUUUUGGACUUUCUGAACUGGUCCUGAACUGACAGAAUGUUGCUGCGGGAUGUAAAAGCUCUUACCCUCCACUAUGACCGCUAUACCACCUCCCGCAGGCUGGAUCCCAUCCCACAGUUGAAAUGUGUUGGAGGCACAGCUGGUUGUGAUUCUUAUACCCCAAAAGUCAUACAGUGUCAGAACAAAGGCUGGGAUGGGUAUGAUGUAC
rnacentral:lncRNA from 10 species